AGCAGGGUAGAGCAGUUGGGAGCUCAUCGGGCUCAUAUCCCGAAGGUCGCUGGUUCGAGUCCAGCCCCUGCUACCA
rnacentral:tRNA from 2 species